rnacentral:rRNA from 1 species
GCUCAGGAUGAACGCUGGCGGCGUGCUUAACACAUGCAAGUCGAACGAAGCACUUUACCGGAUUUCUUCGGGAUGAAAGUUUUGUGACUGAGUGGCGGACGGGUGAGUAACGCGUGGGUAACCUGCCUCAUACAGGGGGAUAACAGUUAGAAAUGACUGCUAAUACCGCAUAAGACCACAGGAUUGCAUGAUCCGGUGGUAAAAACUCCGGUGGUAUGAGAUGGACCCGCGUCUGAUUAGGUAGUUGGUGGGGUAACGGCUCACCAAGCCGACGAUCAGUAGCCGACCUGAGAGGGUGACCGGCCACAUUGGGACUGAGACACGGCCCAAACUCCUACGGGAGGCAGCAGUA